rnacentral:rRNA from 1 species
GAGGAAAGUCUUGUCAUCAUAUACUGAAUACAUAGGUAUAUGAGGGGAACCGCCUGAACUGAAACAUCUAAGUAGGGCGAGGAAGAGAAAUCAACUGAGAUUCCGUAAGUAGUGGCGAGCGAACGCGGAAGAGGCCAAACCGAGAGUAGUAAUACUUUCGGGGUUCGGACAGAAUACGGUAUUGUAAAGGUUUAGUGGAAUGGAAUGGGAAGUCCAACCGAAGAAGGUGAGAGUCCUGUACACGAAAAGCCUGAAUAGCCAUCUGUAUCCAGAGUACCGCCGGACACGUGAAACCCGGUGGGAAUACGGGGGGACCAUCCUCCAAGCCUAAAUACUACUCGGUGACCGAUAGUGAAGAAGUACUGUGAAGGAAAGGUGAAAAGUACCCCUGACGGGGAGUGAAAAAGAACCUGAAACCUUGUGUUUACAAGCACCGAAAGCUCAUCAAAGAGCGAUCGGGUACCUUUUGUAGAAUGGUCCGGCGAGUGAAUGUAACCGGCGAGGUUAAGCACUUAAGGUGUGAAGCCGCAGCGAGAGCAAGUCUGAAUAGGGCGUAUGAAGUCGGUUGUAUUCGACCCGAAACCGGGUGACCUACCCAUGGUCAGGUUGAAGUAAAGGUAAAACUUUAUGGAGGACCGAACCGACUCCCGUUGAAAUGGUAGCGGAUGAACUGUGGGUAGCGGAGAAAUUCCAAUCGAACCCGGAGAUAGCUGGUUCUCUCCGAAAUAGCUUUAGGGCUAGCCUUGAAAUAGAUUACCGGAGGUAAAGCACUGAAUUGGCUAGGGGCCGAGAGGUUACUGAACCUUAUCAAACUAAGAAUGCCGGAUAAUCGUUUUUCAGGAGUCAGACAGUGGGAGAUAAGUUUCAUUGUCAAAAGGGAAACAGCCCAGACCCACAGCUAAGGUCCCUAAGUAUAGUUAAGUGGAAAAGGAUGUGGAAUUGCACAGACAACCAGGAUGUUGGCUUAGAAGCAGCCACUCAUUAAAAGAGUGCGUAAUAGCUCACUGGUCGAGUGACUCUGCGCCGAAAAUUUAACGGGGCUAAACUAUACACCGAAGCUUGGGAUACAUCUAAUGUAUGGUAGGAGAGCGUUCUGUAUGGGGAGAAGUCGUAGCGAAAGCGGCGGUGGACUGUACAGAAGUGAGAAUGCCGGAAUAAGUAGCGAGAAUUAAGUGAGAAUCUUAAUGGCCGAAAGUCUAAGGUUUUUGGAGGAAGGUUCGUCCGCUCCAAGUAAGUCGGGAGCUAAGGUCAGGCCGAAAGGCGUAGCCGAUGCACAUACGGUUGAUAUUCCGUAACCAUCUGUAAUUUAAGCAAAGGGACACUUCAAAAGGGUGUGACCCGGGCGUUGGUUGACCCGGGCGUAAGGGACCGAAAUUAGAGUAGGGAAGCACACUUGGCUGAAGGCGAGAAAAGCUUUGCGUAUAGAAACAGAUGCCCGUACCGCAAACCGACACAGGUGGACAGGAAGAGAAUUCUAAGGCCAGCGGGAGAAGGGUAGUUAAGGAACUCGGCAAAUUGACUCCGUAACUUCGGAAUAAGGAGUGCUCGAAAGAGCCGCAGAGAAUAGGCCCAGGCGACUGUUUAGCAAAAACACAGGUCUCUGCCAAAUCGAAAGAUGAAGUAUAGGGGCUGACACCUGCCCGGUGCCGGAAGGUUAAGAGGAGGAGUGAGAGCUCCGAAUUGAAGCCCCGGUAAACGGCGGCCGUAACUAUAACGGUCCUAAGGUAGCGAAAUUCCUUGUCGGGUAAGUUCCG